ACGAACGCUGGCGGCGUGCCUAAUACAUGCAAGUCGAACGAACUCUGGUAUUGAUUGGUGCUUGCAUCAUGAUUUACAUUUGAGUGAGUGGCGAACUGGUGAGUAACACGUGGGAAACCUGCUCAGAAGCGGGGGAUAACACCUGGAAACAGAUGCUAAUACCGCAUAACAACUUGGACCGCAUGGUCCGAGUUUGAAAGAUGGCUUCGGCUAUCACUUUUGGAUGGUCCCGCGGCGUAUUAGCUAGAUGGUGGGGUAACGGCUCACCAUGGCAAUGAUACGUAGCCGACCUGAGAGGGUAAUCGGCCACAUUGGGACUGAGACACGGCCCAAACUCCUACGGGAGGCAGCAGUAGGGAAUCUUCCACAAUGGACGAAAGUCUGAUGGAGCAACGCCGCGUGAGUGAAGAAGGGUUUCGGCUCGUAAAACUCUGUUGUUAAAGAAGAACAUAUCUGAGAGUAACUGUUCAGGUAUUGACGGUAUUUAACCAGAAAGCCACGGCUAACUACGUGCCAGCAGCCGCGGUAAUUCUUAGGUGGCAAGCGUUGUCCGGAUUUAUUGGGCGUAAAGCGAGCGCAGGCGGUUUUUUAAGUCUGAUGUGAAAGCCUUCGGCUCAACCGAAGAAGUGCAUCGGAAACUGGGAAACUUGAGUGCAGAAGAGGACAGUGGAACUCCAUGUGUAGCGGUGAAAUGCGUAGAUAUAUGGAAGAACACCAGUGGCGAAGGCGGCUGUCUGGUCGUGAACGGACGCUGACGCUCGAAAAUAUGGGCAGCAAAAAGGAUUAGAUACCCUGGUAGUCCAUACCGUAAACGAUGAAUGCUAAGUGUUGGAGGGUUUCCGCCCUUCAGUGCUGCAGCUAACGCAUUAAGCAUUCCGCCUGGGGAGUACGGCCGCAAGGCUGAAACUCAAAGGAAUUGACGGGGGCCCGCACAAGCGGUGGAGCAUGUGGUUUAAUUCGAAGCUACGCGAAGAACCUUACCAGGUCUUGACAUACUAUGCAAAUCUAAGAGAUUAGACGUUCCCUUCGGGGACAUGGAUACAGGUGGUGCAUGGUUGUCGUCAGCUCGUGUCGUGAGAUGUUGGGUUAAGUCCCGCAACGAGCGCAACCCUUAUUAUCAGUUGCCAGCAUUAAGUUGGGCACUCUGGUGAGACUGCCGGUGACAAACCGGAGGAAGGUGGGGAUGACGUCAAAUCAUCAUGCCCCUUAUGACCUGGGCUACACACGUGCUACAAUGGAUGGUACAACGAGUUGCGAACUCGCGAGAGUAAGCUAAUCUCUUAAAGCCAUUCUCAGUUCGGAUUGUAGGCUGCAACUCGCCUACAUGAAGUCGGAAUCGCUAGUAAUCGCGGAUCAGCAUGCCGCGGUGAAUACGUUCCCGGGCCUUGUACACACCGCCCGUCACACCAUGAGAGUUUGUAACACCCAAAGUCGGUGGGGUAACCUUUUAGGAACCAGCCGCCUAAGGUGGGACAGAUGAUUAGGGUG
rnacentral:rRNA from 1 species